GAAUCCUACUUUGUACUUUUUGUGAAAAAAACUUAACUUCUGUGCAUGAUACCGCGUGCAGGGAUCAAUUGACAUCGAAAGAGCUGUGUAAAUGCAGCAUUAGACAACAACCUUGAGGCACCUGUAUGGAAGAAACAACAACCUUGAGGCACCUGUAUGGAAGAAUCCUGCAGGAAGAAGUUUGUAUUGGCUGAGACACGCGACCAGCCAUACCGGAGAUUCUUUUGUUUCUGUCAAUGUGAUCUAUGGCAAGGCAAAAAUUGUACAGCGCUAGUAGGUAGUUUGUAAAGUUGCAAAUAGCCUUAUUUCAUUGGACGGGCAUGAUUAUUUUUCUUGAGCAUAUGAUGGAUGGAUUAUGGAUGUGUGUGGUUCGAUCUCCUUUUCUUCUCAGCUAUUCCAAUCAUCCAUGUGAACUUUAUGUAGUCAGUUCCCGUAGUGGAUGACUUUAUGUGUUUUUAUUAGGGGAUAACUUUCCUGUGUUCCUUCCUUUCAUGCCACCAUUGAGAGGUGGGUCUGGACCCAUCAUGCCAAGCCAUUGAGUUGAGAAUUUGAAACCAGAUGGCAGUAAAUAAAUUAAGGUUGUUGUUUUGCUUAAUGAGCAAACAGCCCUCUGCGGAGUUGUAAAAAUCAC
rnacentral:lncRNA from 1 species